CAUAGGAUAUCCUAAAGAGUCAUUAGGAUACUAUUUUUAUAUUCCGGAAGACCACAAUGUGAUUGUGAGUCGAAAUACUAUUUUUCUUGAAAAAUAAUUAAUUCAAGAUGGUGGCAUCGGAAGAAUAAUUAAACUCAAGGAGAAUAUCUCCCAAGAGCAACGAGCUAAAGAACCUGAGGAACCAAAUCAAUCAGAACCAGUCCUAACACAACCUCUUCCACCUCGUAGAUCGACUAGAGUUUUUCGUCCUCCUGAAAGGUACUUAGGUACUAUACAAGAGGAUAUAG
rnacentral:lncRNA from 1 species